AUGUCAGGGGAGUUGAGUGAUGGUUCAGGAGAAGAGCAUGGACUAGGGUUAAGUAUGGUCAACCCUGUCUCCCCUGCCCCCCUCCAUGCCAGUGGCUGGGUGGGGGCUGACCCUAGUGUAGGGAGCCGGUGUCAGGACCCUGUGGGGAGCCUGGGGGGAGGGGGCAGAGGGGGCAGAAGGGGCAGGAGAGGGACCCAGCCUCUGGGACACCCAGGGGGGAAGGCAACAGAGGCCCCCUGCCCCCUACAAGGCUACUGGAGGAGAUCUCUUCCUCGAGGGCGAGGGAGGGAGGGCGGCCCUGGCCCUGGCCCGUGGCAGAGACGAGAAGCGGAGAGACCCCUGCGCCCUGGCUGGGGCGGCGGUGCCAGUCAGCCUGCCAGGUUCCUGCCGCUGCCUGGGAAGCGCCCAGCUAGAGAUCCUUAUCCAGGACAGGCACAGAACUGGUUUCUCGACUGGCAGCGCCAAGGGGGACAGGGACAGGAAGAAGCCGAGAGGUCAGGAGGGCAGCAGGCCUGUGGUAGUGGCGGGAGGGCCCGCCCAGACACCCCUGGUCCCCGCUGGAUCCACAGUCUCCCCCAGCUCCUCCGGGGCCUCACUGGCACGGGCACAGACCCUGCUUCUUAUGCUCAUUCGCCCAUUCGAGUUGUGUAUGGACCCAGCGCCCCCGCCACCCCAUCCAGCGGCCUGCCCCCCAUCUCUCAGCCAUGAUGAUGGAAAAGCAGGCCAGGCAGGCCAGCUAGAAGGUACUGCUUGCUGCGUGAAACUAGGUGAGCCAUGAGAUGGUCCAGUCGAGGGCCUCGGCCUGCGGAAGGAGGGCAGGCACUUGAUGGGGAGAUGGUGAUAGAACUUGGAAGGCACCGUGCAGUGGAGCCUUGACCCAAAUGAGGAGGCAUGGGAAGGUGGGUGGGAGCCGGCAGGAGGGCUGUGUAGGUCUCAAGGCUGAUAGCUCAGAACCAGAGGGCAGGCAGGACGACGGUCUCAUCAGGAGACCUGGGUGGGAGCGAGGCCAGCCUGUGGGCGUUGGUGAGCUCAUCUGGAACCGCGUGGGAGGCCAAGGCCAGACCUGGGGUCUCCCACAGAUGGGAGGUGGAGGACUGAAGGAACAAUCAGUGGAGAGUGUGGGAGAAGGUGGGAGUCGGCUCCUCAGUACCCAGUGUCCCUGCUGAGAGGUCCAGGGCAAGCCUGGAAGCCAGGGCGGUGCAGGAGGCUGCAGGAGGAGCCGGGGGAUGAGGGAAGGCCCCCCCUCAUUGUGGCCCCACUCCCCCUGCUGCUGACACACUUGUUUCUCACACCACACUUCAGAAGCAAAGUGGCACUCGUGACUUUAUCUGUCCCCUUCCCAAUGAACCAGAGACAGGUUGUAUUUUUUAA
rnacentral:lncRNA from 12 species